rnacentral:lncRNA from 1 species
AUCUAUCAUGCAUCAAGUUCUAAGUUCUGGGAAUAAAGCAGAGGUUUUCUGAGAAUGAAAGCAAAGGUUAAUGGGACUGGUGUCUAUACUGGUCAUUAUGCAAAAUUACCCUAGUUUUGCAAUGGGUUACCAAACAUCCCACUCUACAUUUUUCUAUCAAAAAAAGUUAGAAAAAGCUAAUUUACCAAACGCUUAAUGGAUUAAUUUACCCAUACAUUAUUUUCACAGCUGUGAUUUUUUACAACUGAUUAUUUAGACUUCAAUACCAAAUUGAGCCUAUGUUUUUUUUCUUCUUCCUAAUGGAUAUGUCGAUGGGAGAAAUUUUAAAUACACACCCCUAAUCUUUUA